rnacentral:hammerhead_ribozyme from 1 species
GCACUGCUGAGGAGUCUCAGAGUGAAACGAAACGGCCGUCCAGUAC